GCUUGUCUCAAAGAUUAAGCCAUGCAUGUCUAAGUAUAAGCAUUAUACCGUGAAACUGCGAAUGGCUCAUUAUAUCAGUUAUAGUUUAUUUGAUAGUCCUUACUACUUGGAUAACCGUAGUAAUUCUAGAGCUAAUACAUGCGCGAAGCCCUGAACGUUUGUGAGGGGUGCAUUUAUUGGAUAUAACCAGCCCUUCGGGUCCUAGGUGAAUCACAAUAACUGAGCGAACCGCAUGCUUCGGCGGCGGUGGUUCAUUCAAGUUUCUGCCCUAUCAGCUUUCGAUGGUAGGGUAUUGGCCUACCAUGGCAUUAACGGGUAACGGAGAAUUAGGGUUCGAUUCCGGAGAGGGAGCCUGAGAGAUGGCUACCACAUCCAAGGAAGGCAGCAGG
rnacentral:rRNA from 1 species